rnacentral:rRNA from 1 species
CUCGUAGGCGGUCUGUCGCGUCUGCUGUGAAAACCCGAGGCUCAACCUCGGGCCUGCAGUGGGUACGGGCAGACUAGAGUGCGGUAGGGGAGACUGGAAUUCCUGGUGUAGCGGUGGAAUGCGCAGAUAUCAGGAGGAACACCGAUGGCGAAGGCAGCUUCUUGGCAUAAUAUUGACACUGAGAUUCGAAGCGUGGUAGCAAACA